UACGAAGGGGGCUAGCGUUGCUCGGAAUGACUGGGCGUAAAGGGCGCGUAGGCGGUUUGUACAGUCAGGUGUGAAAUUCCCGGGCUCAACCUGGGGGCUGCACUUGAUACGUAGGAACUGGAGUGGGGAAGAGGGUCGUGGAAUUCCCAGUGUAGAGGUGAAAUUCGUAGAUAUUGGGAAGAACACCGGUGGCGAAGGCGGCGACCUGGUCCUUGACUGACGCUGAGGCGCGAAAGCGUGGGUAGCAAACAGG
rnacentral:rRNA from 1 species